GUCUACUAUUGAAAAAAUUAGAGUGUUCAAAGCACGCUCUCGAGCCUGGAUAAUGGUGCAUGGAAUAAUGGAAUAGGACCUCGGUUCUAUUUUGUUGGUUUUCGGAGCGCGAGGUAAUGAUUAAGAGGGACAGACGGGGGCAUUCGUACUGUGCCGUUAGAGGUGAAAUUCUUGGAUCGGCGCAAGACGAACGACUGCGAAAGCAUUUGCCAAGAAUGUUUUCUUUAAUCAAGAGCGAAAGUCAGAGGUUCGAAGACGAUCAGAUACCGUCCUAGUUCUGACUAUAAACGAUGCCAACUAGCGAUCGGGGGGCGUUACAUUGACGACCCCUCCGGCAGCUUACGGGAAACCAAAGUCUUUGGGUUCCGGGGGAAGUAUGGUUGCAAAGCUGAAACUUAAAGGAAUUGACGGAAGGGCACCACCAGGAGUGGAGCCUGCGGCUUAAUUUGACUCAACACGGGAAAUCUCACCCGGCCCGGACACAGUGAGGAUUGACAGAUUGAGAGCUCUUUCUUGAUUCUGUGGGUGGUGGUGCAUGGCCGUUCUUAGUUGGUGGAGCGAUUUGUCUGGUUAAUUCCGAUAACGAACGAGACUCUGGCUUGCUAAAUAGUUACGCGACCAUCCCGGUCGGCGUUUAACUUCUUAGAGGGACAAGUGGCGUUUAGCCACACGAGAUUGAGCAAUAACAGGUCUGUGAUGCCCUU
rnacentral:ncRNA from 1 species